rnacentral:rRNA from 1 species
UACGGAGGGUGCAAGCGUUAUCCGGAUUCACUGGGUUUAAAGGGUGCGUAGGAGGACUGGUAAGUCAGUGGUGAAAUCCCCGAGCUUAACUUGGGAACUGCCGUUGAUACUAUCAGUCUUGAAUACCGUGGAGGUGAGCGGAAUAUGUCAUGUAGCGGUGAAAUGCUUAGAUAUGACAUAGAACACCGAUAGCGAAGGCAGCUUGCUACACAAUUAUUGACACUGAGGCUCGAAAGCGUGGGGAUCAAACAGG